AACACUGGCGGCGUGGAUUAGCCAUGCAAGUCGAACGAGAAAGCUCCCUUCGGGGAGUGAGUAUAGUGGCGAACGGGUGAGUAACGCGUGGGAAACCUGCCCCUCAGUGGGGGAUAACAGUUCUAACGGACUGCUAAUACCGCAUGUCGCCUUGCGAUCACAUGAUCGAAAGGUGAAAGGUGGCCUCUACAUGUAAGCUGCCGCUGAGGGAUGGUCCCGCGUCCCAUUAGCUUGUUGGUAGGGUAAUGGCCUACCAAGGCGACGAUGGGUAGCCGGCCUGAGAGGGUGUCCGGCCGCACUGGGACUGAGAUACGGCCCAGACUCCCUACGGAGGCAGCAGUCGAGAAG
rnacentral:rRNA from 1 species